GACUCAUUGGUCAAGCGGUUAAGGCUCCGGUUUUUCACCCCGGCAUCCAGGGUUCGACUCCCUGAUGAGCUA
rnacentral:tRNA from 1 species